rnacentral:pre_miRNA from 1 species
GGAAUAUAAGAACCCGUCUCUUAACUUUUAACUAAAAAAGCUAAGAACCGUCUCUUAAAACUCUUAUUUAAGAGCCGGUUCUUAACUUUUUUAGUUAAAAGUUAAGAGACAUGUUCUUAUAUUCC